UGAGCCUCUGUGAAUGCCUCUGUACUUCAUCUUUACUUAGUAUCUUUAAUUAUUUGCUCAGGAUAAAUUCUCAGAAUUUAAAUUGUGAGGUCAUAGGGCAUGCGUAUUUUUAAGGCUUGAUAGGUCCUACCCACAUGGCUCUCUGAGGAGCUGUGCGAGUUUACCUUCGACGAUGGCCCACAGAAACGUAGUGAUGGUGGCUGGCUUUUUAAAGAAGUGAAGGUGGUACCUUGAAAACUAAGUGAUACAUGAUCAUUCAAGCUGAAAGUGUCGAUGGUUUGCUGUAGGAUUAAACAUCACGUGGUGUUAGGUGUUCCUAGGCCGAUGGAUACACCCAAGGAUGAAAGAUGGUUAGGAGCCUGGACCAAGUCCUAUUAUUCAUGGAAUUUGUUCUGCAAAUUAAAAAAAAUGACCCCUUGAAAGUUGACUAAAGUGAAAUUCUAUGUUUGAACUCUGCUUUUCCAUUGACUCUCAUGUGAAAGCAAAUUAUAUAUUCAGUUAAUCCAUAAAUAUUUGUUAACUUGUUUAUUCAAGGUACAAUUUCCAUCAGGUUUUCCAAAAACAAAGACUAAGGAAAAACAAUGAUGAAACCAGUAACCUGAAGAAAUGAUCUGUCCUAAUUUAAUGACAGAAAUCGUUUUAGCUUCAUUUCCAACUCUCUCGUUCUUCUUUCUAAUACUGCACACACUCAAACCUGAAAGCAC
rnacentral:lncRNA from 1 species